AUUCAAUGAAGCCUUUCAGCUGCUGUUUAGAGUUAAGCACAUGAAUAAACUUCCAUUUGAAGACAAUAGGACUAAAUAGCUUACAAGACAAUAUACAUUUAAGUGUUUUUGUAAAUUAAGCUGUAAUUGUUCAGCAGUCUUGUGGGAUUUUUCUUUUCUUUUUUUUUUUUUUUUUUUCCCUUUUUUUUUUUUUUAAAGGAAAAAAAAUCCAGCCAGCUCAUCUCUGUAUUUAAGACUACAUUUCUGGUUACCCGCUGGUAGCAAGGCUGUUAUUUUCGAAAACUACUGAUGGAUUCUUUUCGACCAAGUGUUUAUUAAGAUAACAAUUAUUUAAAACCCCACCUCACCACAUCCCCAAGCCACACCCGGAUCUUUCUGUGUGCAGAAUUUAGCAAACAAGGGUGUUACGAGCUGUGAGCUCCAACAGCACUAGGCAACAUUGAACUGCAGCAAACUCAACAACUUUGUUAUCCUAAAUAUUAGCACUACCGAUGAACCUUUACUCUGUUUCAAUAGACACAUAAUUAAUUCAUUUACAAGACCUGCAGGAGGAGGUUUGUCUCCACAGGAAGGGGCUUUGGCAGAUUUGUUGGCAGCGUUUCAGGUCUGUGAUAUUUCUGUGAUGAAACAAACUCGACAAGGAAACACAAAGCAGUCUGCUGGAACCAUGUUGGAGAGACAACUGAACAAACAGCUGGUUAAAGGAUUAAAG
rnacentral:lncRNA from 1 species